CGCGGGCGGGAGGGCAUCUCGAACGACGUCUCCAGCGCCGGAAAUGCGUCCUUGUUCGCGAGCCACUCGAGCUCCUCUUCCUCCUCGUCUCCUCCGCCUUUCCCCUCGGUCGGCAAGCCCUAGAAAGGUGCCACCAAACGCAAGAGAAAAAGAAAGAAAAAAAAUCAGAUUUUUAUCAUCUUCCAAGCAUAAAAAUCAGAUUUUUCGGGAGGUCGGUGCCAAACUGGAAGCCCUUCGACGGAUGGCUCAAAGAACUCCUGCAAAAUUUGGGCCUGAUGCUUCAACUCGG
rnacentral:lncRNA from 1 species